rnacentral:misc_RNA from 1 species
CACGUAUCUUGGCGGGGCGACCCGUUCUGGGCUGAUCAUGGAACAUUGAGAUGAACCGACCCGUAUCUUGGCGUGGCAACCCGGUUUGGCCUGUUGAGAACUUCUCUCUUUCUCUCAUGCAGUCGGUGUUUUGCAGCCAUGGCGAGACUGGCUUCUCUUUUGCCAUAUCAUUACAUACAUCUGAGCCACAAUUUGUUGAAGAACAUAAG